AGUCACCUCACUGUAGCGAGUAAC
rnacentral:misc_RNA from 1 species